CUAGUUGGUAGGGUAACGGCCUACCAAGGCUUUGAUCGUUAGCUGGUCUGAGAGGAUGGCCAGCCACACUGGAACUGAGACACGGUCCAGACUCCUACGGGAGGCAGCAGUGAGGAAUCUUGCACAAUGGGCGAAAGCCUGAUGCAGCGACGCCGCGUGGGGGAUGAAGCAUCUCGGUGUGUAAACCCCUUUCGACCCGGAAGAAUGCCUCGCAAGAGGACUGACGGUACGGGUAUAAGAAGCCCCGGCUAACUACGUGCCAGCAGCCGCGGUAAGACGUAGGGGGCCAGCGUUGUUCGGAAUUACUGGGUGUAAAGGGUUCGUAGGCGGUGUGGCAAGUUGGGAGUGAAAUCUCUGGGCUCAACCCAGAGGCUGCUUCCAAAACUGCUGUGUUUGAGUGUGGGAGAGGCGCGUGGAAUUGCAGGUGUAGCGGUGAAAUGCGUAGAUAUCUGCAGGAACACCCGUGGCGAAAGCGGCGCGCUGGACCACUACUGACGCUGAGGAACGAAAGCUAGGGGAGCAAACAGGAUUAGAUACCCUGGUAGUCCUAGCCCUAAACGAUCAGGACUUGGGGUGCCGCCCGUUCGGGCGUCGUCCCGGAGCUAACGCGUUAAGUCCUGCACCUGGGGAGUACGGUCGCAAGACUGAAACUCAAAGGAAUUGACG
rnacentral:rRNA from 1 species